GCCCGGGUGGUGAAAUUGGUAGACGCAGGGGACUCAAGAUCCCCGCCGAAAGGCGUGCCGGUUCGAUUCCGGCCCCGGGCACCA
rnacentral:tRNA from 1 species